CAGAAAUAGCAAAUGAGCUCUCGAGGUUUUUUUGUUUGUUUUUUUUUUUUACUCUGGAAGUGACCCCCUCAUGCUGCGUGCAAGACCUUUUGCCCACACAAACCCCAUCAUACACAUUUUUGUUUUUACCACUCAUUUUCUUCAAUUUCCAUCCUAUUUUUAGCCAAACCCUUCAUGUUUCCCUCAUUGAAAUACAUUAGUUGCUAUGGAAACGGUGAUGUCACAGGGAUGGACAAAGCUUUAUGACAUCUACAAUUGCAGAGUACAGUCAACGGAUUCAGAAUUUUGAAAUGAAUGCUAUGCCUUGUGAAAUACCUAAGGUACACUAAUGAUUGUAAUAAUCCCAUGCAGGGCAGUGGGAAGUGUCAGGAAUCAGUCACAAACUGCCUUCCCCAGAAGUUCUGGGCUAAUCCCAUGGACUUGUCCACCUCCCUGCGUGAGCUGUGUGGCUUUUUAGUAGUUUAAAACAUAGUGACAAGGAAAGAAGAAUAAUGAUAAUUCCAAACUGAGGAAAACACUGCAAAUGUGUCGACUAAAGUCACUUGACAGAAAAAGUCCAUUCAUUUAAAUGAAUAUAAGGGAAACAUUGGUUCAGAAAACAGAAAAUGGAUUCUUUUCUAAGGAAGAGAAACGUCUAGGAUACAAGACCUCAAUUCUCACAGCAUCCUUACUCUCUUCUUCAGGGAUGGACCUUACCUCAUAAUAACUUCUUUACUUCACAGGAUGUUUGCCAUCAUUUUGCACAGAGGAGAAAGUGAGAGAGGAGAGGUGAAUUUCCAAAAGCUGAACUCAUAAAUGGCUGAUGUAGAACUGAGAAUAGAGUACUCUAAUCAACUAUCCCCAGAACUCAGUAGACAAAGAGAAAGCAAUGUAUCUGUAGGCAGUAUAAUCAACUGAGGGACAAAUAAAAAAUAACAAAGAAA